rnacentral:rRNA from 1 species
GAGGAAUAUUGGGCAAUGGGCAGAAGCCUGACCCAGCCAUGCCGCGUGCAGGAAGACGGUCCUAUGGAUUGUAAACUGCUUUUAUACGGGAAGAAACACCCCCUCGUGAGGGGACUUGACGAUACCGUAAGAAUAAGGAUCGGCUAACUCCGUGCCAGCAACCGCGGUAAUACGGAGGAUCCAAGCGUUAUCCGGAAUCAUUGGGUUUAAAGGGUCCGUAGACGGCCUUAUAAGUCAGUGGUGAAAUCUCCUAGCUCAACUAGGAAACUGCCAUUGAUACUGUAGGGCUUGAAUUAUUGUGAAGUAACUAGAAUAUGUAGUGUAGCGGUGAAAUGCUUAGAUAUUACAUGGAAUACCAAUUGCGAAGGCAGGUUACUAACAAUAUAGUGACGCUGAUGGACGAAAGCGUGGGUAGCGAAC